GAAUGUGAAAGUACAAAGUGCAGUAGACUUUGACAGUCUUAAGUGCCAAGAAUAAUACAGAAAAAGAAGACAGUUGAUGAAUGAGUUUAUAGGGUUCUAAUCUUAAGAUGGUAAAAAUGUAGAAAGACCUUGCUGGUUUUGGGGGGUUGUUCGUUUCUUAAACAAUCCGUAUCUAAGCUUAGAAGAAAAGUUUAUAGCAUUAAGCACCUUUAUCUUCAUGGAUAAGCUUCGUCUUGCUCUUGCCAAGAGAAGAGUGCUUGAGUUACAGAAGGUGUAAUUAGUUUGAAGAAUACAGCAGCCUUUUUGUAAAUUUCCCAGAUAUAAAAAUGGACUUUGAUACAUAAAUGGUUUUCUGAGAUGAUACUGCCUCUAUUUUUAUAACUAUUUCACCUGGACUAUCUAAUCAGUCCUGUGAAUAUGUCCCUAAAUGUGGUUAUUGAAAACCGAAUAGCUGCCUCAUGACACAUAUAUGUUAUUUUAGAAGGAAAAAAUAUUAAAUUUUGAAUUGAGUGCGUAGGCUCCCUAUCAAUACAGAGAGUUUCUUUUUCCAUGCUAGUCAGUGGCUUAACCUAAAUUGUAAAUGUUUAUAAAAGGUUAAUUGUCCCACAUCAAACUUAUAUUAAAUAAUUUCAUCCACUAUGGAUGAGGAGGAAAAGAAUGUGGAAGAGGUAAAAAGCUGGGUACAACUUCAUAUGCCUAUGAGUCAGUAAAGAUUGAACUAAUGUCCCAUGUUGAGCUGGUUAUUUUGAUAUAUGAUAAUAAUUAUCUUUGAGGUAGAGCAAUUCUGUUUACUCAAAAAUCACAGGAUAUAGCCAUCAUAUUUUUUGGUACAAAUAGUUUUUACUGUGGGGCAAAUAGGUUAAAAUUACACUUUAUGGUAGUUGCAUUUAGGUUUCAAAGCAAAGAAUCUGUAGAGAAAUCUAUGCAUACAUAUAUAGUUUGUCCAGGUUAAUUUUCAUUUGGGAGAAGUUUUGAAAUAUCUCUAAAGCAGUUUACUCGUCAAUUGAAAAGUCCUCCAAAAAGAGAACUAUUGGGAAAUCAUGGUGUGUGGUGGUGGAAAGGAAAUGCUCCCUCAGUUUUUCGAAGGGAAUAACUUUAAAAAACAAACAAAAAAACUUAAAUGGCUAAGUUUACUUGGUGCAGUUAAGAAUUAAACUUGUCAGGAAGGAGCCAGAAGUCUCAUGGGCUCCAGGCGUCGGGAUGACAGAGAGCGGGUAUGAGUCGGUGCUCUGUGUCAAGCCUGACGUCCACGUCUACCGCAUUCCCAACCAUGGCUACAGGGCCCCGAGUGGCAGCUGGACCAGCCAUCAUGGAGUGGCCGGCUGAGGAUCACUGCAAAGCGGCAGAUGGCCUGCAUCAAGCUGGGGGACAGGUCUCAGGGGAGCUCUUUGCUGCGGCCCCAGUGGAUCAGCUUCCUGGCACAGCUGUGGAGAGCAUGAGGGAUCCCAGCAAGUACGUCGUGACCCACAUUGAAGGUGGAGACCGGUGACGGACGUUUAUUGGAAUUGGCCUUGGGGACUGAGGUGAUGCCUUUGACUUCAAUGUUGCAUUGCAGGAUCAUUUCAAGUGGGUGAAACAGCAGUGUGAAUUUGCAAAAAAAGCCCAGAACCCAGACCAAGGCCCCAAAUUGGACCUGGGCUUCGAGGAGGGCCAGACCAUCAGGCUCAACAGCGCAAACAUGAAGAAGGAGGAAGGAGCGGCCGGGAAUCCCUGAGCCCGUCCUGCCAGCACGGGAGGGUUGUGCUUGCUUCCCCCUCCCCCAGGGGGCAAAACUUUCACCCUCAUCCCUCCCCCCAGGGAACAGUUGUCAGUCGGGGGAAUCCCUUGUCCAACCAGCAGUUGCUCCCAGUUCAGGAGGAGGUGCUUCUGAUCAGCUCCCAGCCAGACCCAACCAGGCUGGGUCCAGUUCUGACCUGAGCACAGUUUUUCCUUAUGUGAAUUCUGGGAAGGAGCUCCCUCAUCUGGGUCAAAGGAAGGAGAUCGAAGCAUGCCUCCGCUGGCCUGUGUUUGGAGCAUGAAUCUCUCCUCUCUCCUUGCCUGGCUCUGUUGACAAACUGGGCAUGUUUGGCAGUAAACUGGCAUCUUGUCACACUAUUUCCUGGGAUUCAAAUAUGCAACCAGUACACAGGAGAAGAAAAGCUCCAGGAUCCCGUCUGUCUUCCCGUCUGUCCUCUUGACAGGAGAGAGACUUUCUUCUAUCACAAUGAGGCAUAUUAAACACAAGCUCCCAGAGCAAAAGAAUGGGUUGAGUUUGCUGCCUGGAUUCAGAUCAGCCCUUCUGAGAGUCUGCAGGUGUCAUGUGAUCACUGUUCAGCUGGGGGCCUUCUUUUUUUUUUUUUGAGCCAGAGUUUCGCUCUUGUUACCCAGGCUGGAGUGCAAUGGCGCAAUCUCAGCUCACCGCAACCUCCGCCUCCUGGGUUCAGGCAAUUCCCCUGCCUCUGCCUCCUGAGUAGCUGGGAUUACAGGCACACGCCACCAUGCCCAGCUAAUUUUUUGUAUUUUUUUAGUAGAGACGGGGUUUCACCAUGUUGACCAGGAUGGUCUCCAUCUCUUGACCUCGUGAUCCACCCGCCUUGGCCUCCCAAAGUGCUGGGAUUACAGGCUUGAGCCACCGCGCCCGGCCAGCUGGGGGCCUUCUUUACCCACACUGGCUAUAGCCACUUCAGUCCAUCUGCCCUCCAGAGGAGGGUUUCCUUCCUGAUUUUUAACAGGUUUAGAGGCUAUAGCUUGAACUUACAAUCAGGAGGGAAAUUGGAAGGAUUAAGCAGCUUUUAAAAAUGUUUAAGUGUUUUGCUUUGCUAAUGUGCUGAUCCGCACUAACUCAUCUUUGCCAAAAGAACUGCUUCUUGAGUGUGCCCCAAUGUGGUCUCUGAAGGCAUUCCUCACUGUCUUCAGGCAGCAGUGCUCAUCUCUGGCCAGUUGUCUGGUUUCCAUGUAUUCUAGGCCAUUCAGGCAACACAGAGCCAAGGUGGGUGCUGGAAGCCAGAUGGAACAGUGUUGGGGCAGGAAGGUGGAAGCUGUCAGCAUGGAGCUGUGGGACCCAGCACUCCUGUCAACUGGUGGCCCUCUGUGCUCACCGAUUGACAACGCAGCUCCUGGCAAACUUGGGUUUCUCUCUGGUGGUUUCUAAAGUGCCUUAUCUGCAAACAACUUCUUUCUUUUCUCCUUCAGGAACUGUGAAUGACUAGCAGAAGGAGCUCAGUAAACUAGAAGUCCAGGGUUGCUUGGAUUACUGGCUUGUAAGAAAUCUGAAUGCACCUCUGAAAUUCCUUUUAUCAACUUACCUCUCAGUUGAAAGAUUUCUUUGUUGAAGGGUCAAGACCACGAACUGAAAAAAGUGUUGGCCUUUUUGUGGGACCAGAUUUUUAAGAUAAAAUAAAUAUUUUUACUUCUGUCAAAAAAAAAAA